AAUGAACGCUGGCGGCAUGCCUAACACAUGCAAGUCGAACGAGACCUUCGGGUCUAGUGGCGCACGGGUGCGUAACGCGUGGGAACCUGCCCUUAGGUUCGGAAUAACUCCCCGAAAGGGGUGCUAAUACCGGAUAAUGUCUUCGGACCAAAGAUUUAUCGCCUUUGGAUGGGCCCGCGUUGGAUUAGCUAGUUGGUAGGGUAAAAGCCUACCAAGGCGACGAUCCAUAGCUGGUCUGAGAGGAUGAUCAGCCACACUGGGACUGAGACACGGCCCAGACUCCUACGGGAGGCAGCAGUGGGGAAUAUUGGACAAUGGGCGAAAGCCUGAUCCAGCAAUGCCGCGUGAGUGAUGAAGGCCUUAGGGUUGUAAAGCUCUUUUACCCGGGAUGAUAUUGACAGUACCGGGAGAAUAAGCUCCGGCUAACUCCGUG
rnacentral:rRNA from 1 species